rnacentral:rRNA from 1 species
GAACGGGUGAGUAACACGUGGGUGAUCUGCCCUGCACUUCGGGAUAAGCCUGGGAAACUGGGUCUAAUACCGGAUAGGAGCCAUUUUUAGUGUGAUGGUUGGAAAGUUUUUCGGUGUAGGAUGAGCUCGCGGCCUAUCAGCUUGUUGGUGGGGUAAUGGCCUACCAAGGCGGCGACGGGUAGCCGGCCAGAGAGGGUGGACGGCCACAUUGGGACUGAGAUACGGCCCAG